rnacentral:rRNA from 1 species
UACGGAGGGUGCAAGCGUUAUCCGGAUUCACUGGGUUUAAAGGGUGCGUAGGCGGUUAGGUAAGUCCGUGGUGAAAUCCUGCAGCUUAACUGCAGAACUGCCGUGGAUACUAUCUAUCUUGAAUGUCGUGGAGGUUAGCGGAAUAUGUCAUGUAGCGGUGAAAUGCUUAGAUAUGACAUAGAACACCCAUUGCGAAGGCAGCUAACUACGCGAUAAUUGACGCUGAUGCACGAAAGCGUGGGGAUCAAACAGG